AGUUUGAUCCUGGCUCAGAUUGAACGCUGGCGGCGUGCUUAACACAUGCAAGUCGAACGAGAAAGGGACUUCGGUCCUGAGUAGAGUGGCGCACGGGUGAGUAACGCGUAGGUAAUCUACCUCUGCAUCUGGGAUAACACUUCGAAAGGGGUGCUAAUACCGGAUACACUUAUGGGUCGCAAGACCUAUAAGGAAAGGAGACGAUCCGCAAGGAGUUUCUGUGUAGAGAUGAGCCUGCGUCCCAUUAGCUAGUUGGCAGGGUAAGAGCCUACCAAGGCGACGAUGGGUAGCGGGUCUGAGAGGAUGAUCCGCCACACUGGAACUGAAACACGGACCAGACUCCUACGGGAGGCAGCAGUGAGGAAUAUUGGACAAUGGGCGCAAGCCUGAUCCAGCGACGCCGCGUGAGUGAUGAAUGCCUUUGGGUCGUAAAGCUCUGUCAGCAGGGAAGAACGGCCGUGUGGUUAAUACCCAUGCGGAUUGACGGUACCUGCAGAGGAAGCACCGGCUAACUCCGUGCCAGCAGCCGCGGUAAUACGGAGGGUGCGAGCGUUAAUCGGAAUUACUGGGCGUAAAGGGCGCGUAGGCGGCUGAUCAAGUCAGGUGUGAAAGCCCACGGCUUAACCGUGUGAAGUGCAUCUGAAACUGGUCGGCUUGAGUAUCGGAGAGGAAAGUGGAAUUCCCGGUGUAGAGGUGAAAUUCGUAGAUAUCGGGAGGAAUACCGGUGGCGAAGGCGACUUUCUGGACGAAUGCUGACGCUGAGGCGCGAAAGCGUGGGGAGCAAACAGGAUUAGAUACCCUGGUAGUCCACAGCUGUAAACGAUGUGCACUAGAUGUGGGGAAGUGUUGACCUUUCCUGUGUCGCAGCUAACGCAUUAAGU
rnacentral:rRNA from 1 species